rnacentral:lncRNA from 1 species
ACUGGGUUAAAUAUUCAUUUGAAGUUAAAAUGUACAUGAAUAUAAUCUAAAUACAGCAGGGCUUAUAUUUUAACUAGUACCCAAAUUAUUCACACUUUUCAGAACUAAAUUUAGGCUUCCAUUUUUGGGUUGAAACUGAUAAAGCACAAAGCCCUACCACAACCCAAACACUGAAAAGGAAAAUAAAUUUUAAAAGCCCUCACAGCACAAAUUGAAAACAAGCUAAGAUCCUCAUGUAGACUGGAGAGAAAUGGCUCUCUUGCUCUGGUUUGCAUUUUAGUUCUCAUUUUUCAUGUUUUUUGCAAGCAGGUAGGAGCAAAGAUCACAAGUCCAGAUGUCUUGCUGCUUUCAAAUCUUCUUGAGUUUGAAUUAGAGGGAUGAGAAAAAGAGCAGACAAAAACAUGGAUAAAUACAAGAUAAAUUUUGAAAGAAAACUUUUAAAAACCAAUCAUGGUUGCUAAGUAACAAAAGCAUACUUAACCUUUGCUAAUGAUUAACAAACCACAAAAUUUGCACAAGCCAGGAAACAAGUAGCAAAGGCAUUUCUUUUUGGGAGUUUUACAGGUUUUUUUGCAGUUUUUGCUCUUCUAAAAUUUGCAAGGAGAUAAGAGGGAGGAAAUUAGAAAAUUACUGAGCUAAAGAAGGCUUUGUUCCCCUGUGAAAAACUAGCAAGAGAGGUUUGUGUUCAGAAGAUUUUUCCCUGAAUAAUACUCACCCUGAAAUGAGAUCUGAGCCUGAAUGUACCAAGCUACCUUUUGGGUUGGUGCCUGGUUUCCCAAGAUUUAUGUCACCUACUCAUCACUGCAAAGGCAUGGGGCAUGACCUUCACUUUGACUGUUCAGAGUCAAUUACGGGAAUGACCAGGACCUGAGGAACCUGCAAGAGUACCUGAAAGAAAAAGCCUAGGAAAAAGUAUAUAGAAGAAUAUACUGCCAAACUUCAUUAGAGAGAAUGGGAAUUUUCUAUAGUUCAUUAAAGGCAGCUUCCCAAUGUCUAAUAACUCUCACUGUGCUUUUCUACCAUGGACCAGCACACGCUAAUCUUAAACCCUUUUCAAACAUUCACAAUAUUCCAGAGCAAGGAGUU